UAGCGGCCAAAUGAUGAACUACAACAACAAGAAAAAGCAACAUGGCGACCACCGGGCGACUAGUGUCAAGGUUGGCGAUGGUGACGGGCGGCGGGAGCGGGAUCGGUCGCGCCGUGUGCCGGCGCUUGGCCUCCGAGGGCGCAUCGGUGGUGGUCGCCGACGUCUGCGAGGCGUCGGCCAAUGAGACGCUGCGAAGCCUGCCGGGGGACCUCAGGGGUCAGGCCCACAUGGCGGCGGCGGCAGAUGUGGCGUCAAAAGAGAGCGUCGACAACCUGCUUACGAGCAUCCAGGCUCGCUACUUCCAGCCGCCUUCGGUGUGCGUCAACGCAGCGGGCGUCACCCAGGACAACUUCCUGCUGGACAUGGAGGACGACGACUUUGACAGGGUGGUCCGGGUCAACCUGAAGGUAGGACCCCCGCCCGAUGCCGUCCCAUCACCCGCCUCCGACUCAUCAUCAUCAUCGUCGUCGUCGUCUCUCCAGGGCUCUUUUUUGGUCAUCCGGGCCGUGGCCCGGGCCCUGGUGGCCUCCGGAGCCCCCAAAGGAUCCAUCGUAACCGUUGGCAGCAUUGUGGGCAAAGUGGGCAACAUGGGGCAGGUCAAUUACGCCGCCUCAAAAGCCGGAGUGGAGGGUUUAACCAGGACGGCCGCCAAGGAGCUCAGCAGGUUUGGGAUUCGGUGUAAUUGUGUGCUGCCGGGGUUUAUAUCCACACCCAUGACGGACAAAGUCACCGAGAAGGUGAUCGGCAAGAUGAAGUCUCUUAUACCGCUGGGAAGGAUGGGCGAGGCAACAGUGGCACAUUGGGGUAGCUGGUAAAGCGUUGGCCUCACAGUUCUGAGGUCCCAGGUUCGAUCCUGGACCCGCCUGCGUGGGUUCUUUCCGGGUGGGCACUCCGGUUUCCUCCCACAUCCGAAAAAGAUGCGACAUUAAUUGGACACUCUAAAUUGCCCCGAGGUGUGUUUGUGAGUGUGAUUGGUUGUUUGUCCCGAUGUGCCCUGCGAUUGGCUGGCGACCAGUUCAAGUUGUAACCCGCCUCCUGCCCGUUGACAGCUGGGAUAGGCUCCAGCGACCCUUGUGAGGAUAAGCGGCUAAGAAAUCCCUAACCCACUGGAGCUCACCCGUAACCAAAGUUUGGGCUUGCAACACAAAAUCCGACUUUGCGUUGCCGUUCAUGUGCUCCGUCGUCCUUAUAGAAGUCGCCGACGUUUGCGCCUUCCUCGCCUCAGACGACGCCCGCUACGUCACGGGAGCCAGCCUGGAAGUCACAGGUGGACUUUUCAUGGGAUGAACCGGAAAUCUGCUGAAACAAAACUUGUAUGCGCUGAUGUCAAACUAUAAGUUUUUGUGGCCUAUUAAUGUAAAUAAAGUGUGGCUACUUUG